AGGAGACUGUGGAGCUGGGGGCGGGGAUGGCGCCCGUGUAGCACUACAAGGACUGCCUGAACAAAGUGGUUUCUGACACCCAGUCUGGGGAGGAGAGACCGUGGUUUCACCAUUUUUCUCCCCAUCACCAACAAGAAACUCUGUUCUAUUGAUUAUCUCUUCACUCACCUGAAUCUACAAAUUCUACUUAUUCCUACCUGACCGUCAAAGUAAAAAUUGCACCCACAAAGUUAAACAGGAUCCUCUUCUCAUAUCUCAAGAGAUUUGGAUGGCUGAAGUAAAGUGACAUCAGGAAUUCAGCAUUUUGAGGAUUCAAUUCAAGGCACCACCCUGCAUUUAACUGGUAGGUCUCCCUACUCUCCUCUGGUCUGUGGUGUUUUCUCAGUCUUAUCUUGUUUUUCAAGAUUUUAGCAGUUUUGAGGAACCCCAUCCAUGUGUCCUGUGGAAUUACCCCCAAUCUGGAUUUGUUUGAUUUUUUCCUUAUGGUUAGGUUUUGGGGGAAGAGAGGAAGUAUUUUCUUUGUCAUAUCACAUUGAGGGUACAUUCUAUCCACAGGAUAUCACUGAUAACGCUAAGCUUGGUUAACGUAGUAUUUGGUAGGUUUCUCCACUGUAAAGCUACUGUUUUUCCCUUUCCCUAUUCAAUUCUUUGAAAGAGAGUCAUUAAGCCCAGCCCACCCUUCUGAAGGGGGGGGGUAUAUUUAUAUGUAUGAUUUGAAUUCUUUUUUUUUGUUUAUUUAUUCUUGAGAGA